UUAAUACGAAUCAUUUCAUUGAGUUAAAAAUUUGACUGCCUGUUAAUGGGACGGUUUAAGAUUAUUACAGAUGCGAAUGCUCAUGUUGAAAACAUGUAUACCUAAGCACAAUGUGCGCCUGCAUAAUGAUUUUUGAAAAUCUUGGAAGAAAAGCUAAAUUGUCUUCUAGUGAAAUAUCUCCCGUUGUUGGUGAAGUGAUGCUAUGUAAAAAGAGUUCAAAGACGAGGAACAUUCCACUCCGUCAUUGAACAACGUGACAUGAACAAUUUAGAUCGUCACGCUCUCAACCUCAAAAUUUAUUCAGAGACUGAAAUCAAAAGUAAGAAUACUGAGCGAAUGGGCGACGAUGCUUUUACAACAAGAUAUCAAAUGAUUUCUAAUAGGUGCAUGCAAUGCAAACACUUGAACCUUGGAUAAUUGAUAAGGCGUCGUACAUAAAUUCACUCCACCUACUUGGCCAAUAAGAAUAUCAAGCCGCUCUGCAAUCCCAAUUCUCCUUUGGGAAUACAGUUUGUCCUACUUUUUCCUAUUCCCGUUCCAACAGGGUGAAUCAAUCUUUCUUCUGUCCCAUUCCCUCCAAGGAAAGAAAGGCCGUCAUAAUGCAGAAGACAGAUUUCUUAUUGAGCCACCCCAAAGUAGAUUUCCAACCCCUUACUUUCGAAGAGGGGAGCAUGACCUGACCUACCUGGCUGGACCAAAAAAGCUAGAUCGAACUAUAGCUGUUUGUUCAGAUGUUCCAAAUUGGUCUAAACCAAAAGUCAUUGUUUAUUCAGGAUUGCCUUGACCGGAAACAUGGGAGGCCAUCAAUCGUCCUUGCGUUCAAAUCAAUCAAGAGGUAGUCCAAAAUCGAAUUGGUUUAAAGCCCUUUGGUCGGGAGGAUCACGGCGAAGAUCCAAUCCAACGCCAAGGGAGACCUCUUCACCAAGCUCAAUUCUAGAGGAGGAAUACUUGUUUAGACCGAGGAUGAAUACCUGGAUCAAGUGACCUAGGGAAAGAACACUGAGAGAAGAAAAAAUAAAUAAAUCCUGAACUGUCAGUUCGGAAGUCGAGCAAGAUCUUCUUCAUUUCUGGACCAAUUCCAGAAGUGUUGGGGAGCAUUUAGAACAUUUUGAAUUGGAGAAGUGAACGUUUAUCAUGUUUUUUUUGUACUUCAUAAUGGAAUCUCCACACAUCUGCGAAGUCUGCAUUCAAAUGAGAUGUUUUGCGGAAACAAAAAAGACAAUAAACAGUACCAAACUUCCUCAUUUUGUCUCGAAUUCAAAUCAAAGUAUACUCUG